rnacentral:rRNA from 1 species
GAUGAACGCUGGCGGCGUGCCUAAUACAUGCAAGUCGAGCGAACAGACGAGGAGCUUGCUCCUCUGACGUUAGCGGCGGACGGGUGAGUAACACGUGGAUAACCUACCUAUAAGACUGGGAUAACUUCGGGAAACCGGAGCUAAUACCGGAUAAUAUAUUGAACCGCAUGGUUCAAUAGUGAAAGACGGUUUUGCUGUCACUUAUAGAUGGAUCCGCGCUGCAUUAGCUAGUUGGUAAGGUAACGGCUUACCAAGGCGACGAUGCGUAGCCGACCUGAGAGGGUGAUCGGCCACACUGGAACUGAGACACGGUCCAGACUCCUACGGGAGGCAGCAGUAGGGAAUCUUCCGCAAUGGGCGAAAGCUUGACGGAGCAACGCCGCGUGAGUGAUGAAGGUCUUCGGAUCGUAAAACUCUGUUAUUAGGGAAGAACAAAUGUGUAAGUAACUGUGCACGUCUUGACGGUACCUAAUCAGAAAGCCACGGCUAACUACGUG